rnacentral:rRNA from 1 species
UACGAAGGGGGCUAGCGUUGUUCGGAAUUACUGGGCGUAAAGCGUGCGCAGGCGGCUUCUCAAGUCAGGGGUGAAAGACGGUAGCUUAACUAUCGCAGUGCCUUUGAUACUGAUGGGCUUGAAUGUAGUUGAGGUAGGCGGAAUGUGACAAGUAGCGGUGAAAUGCAUAGAUAUGUCACAGAACACCAAUUGCGAAGGCAGCUUACUAAAGUAUGAUUGACGCUGAGGCACGAAAGCGUGGGGAUCAAACAGG